CCUACGGGAGGCAGCAGUGGGGAAUAUUGCGCAAUGGGCGAAAGCCUGACGCAGCGACGCCGCGUGAGGGAUGAAGGUCUUCGGAUCGUAAACCUCUUUCAGCAGGGAAGAACGGUCACUUUGCUAGUCAGCCAUGCAUUGACUGUACCUGCAAAGGACGCACCGGCUAACUCCGUGCCAGCCGCCGCGGUAAUACGGAGGGUGCGAGCGUUAAUCGGAAUUACUGGGCGUAAAGCGCUCGUAGGCGGUAUGUCAAGUCAAGGGGGAAAUCCCCGCGCUCAACGUGGGAACUGCCUUUGAAACUGGCAAACUGGAGUGUGUGAGAGGAGAGUGGAAGUCCAGGUGUAGGAGUGAAAUCCGUAGAUAUCUGGAGGAACAGCAGUGGCGAAGGCGACUAGCUGGAACAGAACUGACGCUGAGGAGCGAAAGCGUGGGUAGCAAACAGGAUUAGAUACCCCGGUAGUC
rnacentral:rRNA from 1 species